rnacentral:rRNA from 1 species
CCUACGGGAGGCAGCAGUAGGGAAUUUUGCGCAAUGGGCGAAAGCCUGACGCAGCAACGCCGCGUGAUCGAGACGCCCUUCGGGGUGUAAAGAUCUGUCAGUGGGGACGAAACUUGACGGUACCCACAGAGGAAGCACCGGCUAACUCCGUGCCAGCAGCCGGCGUAAUACGGGGGGUGCAAGCGUUGGCCGGAAUCAUUGGGCGUAAAGAGUUCGUAGGCGGCACGGAAAGUCUGGUGGUAAAGGGAGGGGCGUAACUUCCGUACGGCACUUGAUACUUGCCAGCUAGAAUGCGGAAGGAGUAAAGGGAAUGCCUGGUGUAGCGGUGAAAUGCUUAGAUAUCAGGAGGAACAUCGGUGGCGUAAGCGCUUUACUGGGCCGUAAUUGACGCUGAGGAACGAAAGCCAGGGUAGCAAAUGGGAUUAGAUACCCCAGUAGUC